rnacentral:rRNA from 1 species
CACGUAGGGGCCAAGCGUUGUCCGGAUUUAUUGGGCGUAAAGAGCUCGUAGGUGGUUUGUCGCGUUGUCCGUGAAAACUCACAGCUUAACUGUGGGCGUGCGGGCGAUACGGGCAGACUGGAGUACUGCAGGGGAGACUGGAAUUCCUGGUGUAGCGGUGGAAUGCGCAGAUAUCAGGAGGAACACCGGUGGCGAAGGCGGGUCUCUGGGCAGUAACUGACGCUGAGGAGCGAAAGCGUGGGGAGCGAACAGG